AAUAGAUACUCGGGUAGUCCACGCCGUAAACGAUGAGUGCUAAGUGUUAGAGGGUUUCCGCCCUUUAGUGCUGCAGCUAACGCAUUAAGCACUCCGCCUGGGGAGUACGGCCGCAAGGCUGAAACUCAAAGGAAUUGACGGGGGCCCGCACAAGCGGUGGAGCAUGUGGUUUAAUUCGAAGCAACGCGAAGAACCUUACCAGGUCUUGACAUCCUCUGCCAACCCUAGAGAUAGGGUGUUCCCCUUCGGGGGACAGAGUGACAGGUGGUGCAUGGUUGUCGUCAGCUCGUGUCGUGAGAUGUUGGGUUAAGUCCCGCAACGAGCGCAACCCUUGAUCUUAGUUGCCAGCAUUUAGUUGGGCACUCUAAGGUGACUGCCGGUGACAAACCGGAGGAAGGUGGGGAUGACGUCAAAUCAUCAUGCCCCUUAUGACCUGGGCUACACACGUGCUACAAUGGAUGGUACAAAGAGCUGCGAACCCGCGAGGGUAAGUCAAUCUCAUAAAGCCAUUCUCAGUUCGGAUUGUAGG
rnacentral:rRNA from 1 species